GGCUUUGUGCAGUGGCAGUAUUGUAGCCAAUGAAGUUUAUCCAAGGGGCCAUUAUUGCUAAUUGAAAACUUUUUCCAAACAAGUUUUAUAAUUGCUUGUUCUAUUUCUGUGGAGAAUAUCAUUGGGAAUUUCACAGGUAUUGCAUUUAAU
rfam:Tupaia chinensis contig219858, whole genome shotgun sequence.